GCUAAAAAUCUAGCUCCCCUAUAACCUAUAAACUAACCUUUUUUACUCACCCAAUUAAAACAUUUUCAUACUUUAGUAUAGGAGAUCGAAAAAUUUACUGAAGCUAUAAACCUAGUACCGCAAGGGAAAGAUGAAAUAUUAAUGAAAAUUCUUAAGCAAAAAAUAGUAGAGCUCACCCCUCGUACCUUUUGCAUCAUGGUUCAACUAGUCCACUCAAGCAAAAAGCAUUGCAGUUUGACCCCCCGAAACUAAGCGAGCUACUUCAAGGCAGCUUCAUGAGCCAACCCGUCUCUGUCGCAAAAGAGUGGGAAGACCUUCAAGUAGAGGCGACAUACCUAACGAGCUUAGUGAUAGCUGGUUACUCAAGAAAAGGAUUUUAGUCCAACCUAAAGCGCCCACUUCUAAUUAAAAAAUACCCUGAAACUUUAGAGCAAUUCAAAUAAGGUACAGCCUAUUUGAAACAGGAUACAACCUCGUCUGACGGGUAAAAAUAUCCCCCCGACCUUAAGUAGGCCUAAGAGCAGCCAUCUUUUAAAAAGCGUCACAGCUUGGUCUCAUUUAAUUUUUUAAUUCCUCAUUAACCCUUUAACCCUCUCUCAGUAUUGAGUAAUUCUAUAUUCUUAUAGAAAAUUUUAUGUUGAAACUAGUAACAAGAAAAAUCGACCUUCUCUUAAAUGCAACUAUAAAUCAGAAAGGACAAACCACUGAUGAUUAACGCCCAUGAAUAAAUAUUAGCAACUCCCCAAGAAAAACCUACUCCCAAUACACGUUAACCUGACACAAGAGCAUUUCAAGAAAGAUUAAAAGAAAGAGAAGGAACUCGGCAAAUAUUAACCCCGCCUGUUUACCAAAAACAUCGCCUCUUGAGAAAAAAUAAGAGGUCCAGCCUGCCCAGUGACACAUGUUCAACGGCCGCGGUAUCCUAACCGUGCGAAGGUAGCGUAAUCACUUGUUCUUUAAAUGAGGACUAGUAUGAAUGGCACCACGAGGGUUAUACUGUCUCCUCUUUCUAAUCAGUGAAACUAAUCUCCCCGUGAAGAAGCGGGGAUAGACCUAUAAGACGAGAAGACCCUAUGGAGCUUUAAACUUCUCUUCAAACGCCAGACCUCCCUUCCACAAGUCAUAGACUUUUUUAUACUAACCAUCGGCGCCAUGAAGAUGACUUUUAGGUUGGGGUGACCAUGGAGCAUAAAAAAACCUCCACGCUGAACUAGGCCUCCAAGCCUUGAGCCAAGGGCCACGACCCGCCGCACUAAUAAACUAACACCAAUUGACCCAAAUUUAUUUGAUCAACGAACCAAGUUACCCUAGGGAUAACAGCGCAAUCCACUUCAAGAGUUCUUAUCGACAAGUGGGUUUACGACCUCGAUGUUGGAUCAGGGUAUCCCAGUGGUGCAGCCGCUACUAAUGGUUCGUUUGUUCAACGAUUAAAACCCU
rnacentral:rRNA from 1 species